rnacentral:misc_RNA from 1 species
GGAGCACCUUCUGGUAGAAAUGUGCGGAUCCACCGUAACAUACAUGAUGGAAGUGAUACUGAAUCUGAAAGUGUAGAUUUAAGUUCUUGGACAAGAUCUGGUGGACCAUUGAUGAGAACUACUUCUGCAGAUCAAUUUAUUGACUUUGUGCAAAAUCUGGAUAUUGAUGCUGAAUUGACCAAAGGCUUGAUGAUAAAUCCUAACUCUCCAGGGGCCCAGAUGGUAAUCAGGGAUCCAUAUAAUCAGAUUUCCAGGGUGACAACACCGGAAAGAAACUCGGAAAACGAAUUUGAACAUAGGGAUUUUAGCAGUAGAUCAUCUGUGAAUGGUUCUAGUAUUACAGUCACUGAAGGUGAUCUUUUGCAGCCUGAAAGGAUCCACAAUGGGUUUGUGCUGAAUAUUGUAAAGAAAGAAAACCUGGCACUCUCAAAUAGGACCCACGACUUGGAGAACUACAACAAUGAAGUUCCGGAAUGUGUUCAGCUCGACUGUCCAGAAAAGGAUAUGGAUGCUAGCUCAGCAUCUGAAUAUGCUGGUGAUAAUGAUAAUGAUGAUGACGAUGAUGAUGAUGUUGAUGAUGAUGCCACUGCAAUGAA